rnacentral:rRNA from 1 species
CCCAAAGUCAUGGUUAAGUGGGAAACGAUGUGGGAAGGCACAGACAGCCAGGAUGUUGGCUUAGAAGCAGCCAUCAUUUAAAGAAAGCGUAAUAGCUCACUGGUCGAGUCGGCCUGCGCGGAAGAUGUAACGGGGCUAAACCAUGCACCGAAGCUGCGGCAGCGACACUAUGUGUUGUUGGGUAGGGGAGCGUUCUGUAAGCCUGCGAAGGUGACCUGUGAGGGUUGCUGGAGGUAUCAGAAGUGCGAAUGCUGACAUAAGUAACGAUAAAGCGGGUGAAAAGCCCGCUCGCCGGAAGACCAAGGGUUCCUGUCCAACGUUAA